UCUUCUCGGGGCUCGCGGAGGGCCGCCGCUGGGCACCCACGUGGCCUUUUGAGAAGGGCGGGAUGGGACCAUAUGCUUUUCCUUCCACCCCCUCCCCCCUCGUUGUAACUUCAGGAGCGCGAUCUCGUUCCCAUCAGGGAGAUGCGGUGGGACAGCUGGUGGUGUGUUCCUUAUAGGAGAGACAGGAGUUUUUCUUCUGGUAAGCAAGGUAUUGAGCCUCGUCUCUGUCCUCAGCAAGGUGACAGUUGAUGAGAAGAUAUUUCUACGGAGAAGUCACGGUGGAUUUGGCAAGGGAAAAUGAUGCUGGACCAAGCCGGUAGGUAGCCUUCUGUGUUGUGACUGGUUAGACGAGAGAAGGGCAGUAGAAUAUCACUCCUGUCAGUAAAUAUCUGAAGUGUGGUAGCGUAGCAAUGGGGCAUGGGCUCGUUCAGACAUUGGGAGCAGCAUUCGUGGAGUAGAAUGUGAGAAGUCAGAAUGCUUUUGCUGUGAGAGCGAUGGAAUAGGCUGCCUGCAGAGAGUCCCUUUGUCUGGGGAUCUUGAAGUUGCAUUGGGACGCUUUGCUGGGUUCCUGUCACAAGGGAGCAUGUAGCAGCGAGGAUCUGCCUGAGGAUGGGAUGAAGGAGGUAUGUCUCCUUAGUGUUUCAUGGAGGUGUUUGGACAGGCUUGGGAUUGUGCUGGUGAGAGUGUAUGGAGUGAGGUAAGUGGUGUCCUUUUGUCCUUGACCUGUGUGCUGGUGCCAGGGGCCACAAGUCUUUUUUGUUUGAGGGUGAUGGUAGGUGAGUCUUUUGGUGUAUCUGGAUUUCAUCCCUAAAGGUGUGUGGUAGGUCUGGUCCUGGAGGAAUGGACUGGACUGAGGGAGAGGUGCAGCCUGCAAGGCUCUGGCAACUGUUGGUUUUUUUUUUCUUCAGGUCCUGGUGCAGCUGGUUGCAGUGCUGCAUGUGUGGAAGAGAUGUGCCAGCUGUAUCUCUGGACAGAAGUGUUUCUUCAGUAGAGGUUCCCGAGCUCAAAGUUUCUUGCUAGGUAACCCGAGCUCGUGCUUCCUGGCAAAGCCCUUUGUGUUGAGUCUCGAAUGAGAGAACAUCCCACAUCAGAAGGGACUCCUGCCUCCUUGCUCUCUAUGGCACUGCCUAGGCUUCAGCUGCUCUGAGUGACGUCCAAAUGCUGUCUGUUCCAAUACCUCCUCCCUUCUUUCUGGCAAGUUUUCUCUUAUCUACCAUCUGAACCUCCUCUGCCCUAACAUCAGGUUGUUCCUUCCCAUCCUAUUGCUAGCUAUAGGGGAAAAGAAGCUGACCCUUGCCACAGCCUCCUUUCAGCUGGUUGGAGAGAGGGAGUUUCAGCCCUUCCUUGAAUGCUUUUUAAGACCUGUAUUCCUUUUUUGUCUUGUACUGCAUUGCCCUGAACUGCACACAACACUCACCCUGAGCAGACUGCAGUUCUCCUAAUUUAGUGAAAUCAGUAAACAUAAUAAAUACACAUUUGACUCUUGUGUCCUGCUCAUUUAUAGAAAUACCCAGGAGACCUGCCUCUGACAAGAAGCUCUGCAAUCUGACUGGUGCCUAUCUCCCAGCUUCUUGCAAUUACGUUUACUCUAGGAAAUGCUUGGAGCCUUUUUUUUUUUUUAUGGGGCUGUCAUUGCUUAGCUGUUUGUUUUAAGAUAUACAAGUAGGAAGAACUGUUUUCUGAUAUGGGUUCUGAUAAAGGUAUAUCCCCUUACCUACUCAAAGACAUAAUACAUGCUUGGAACUAAGCCACAAGUGAAUACAUCUCCCUCCUGUAACUUGGCUGUUCUCUCAAGUGUUGGAGGGGCUCUGAGUCAUGAUAAACUUGUAGGAGUAGUUAGAAAACAGAAGAGACAGCAAUUACUCAAUCAGGAUGUAUUAGACAGUUGAAGUAAAUGGAUGCGUCCCUCUAAUAGAGGAGUGAAUUAAGAUCUCUCUUAAAUCAGUAAUGAAUUCAUAGUUAUGAAUUCAUUGGGUGAGCUUCUCUCACCCAAAGUUGGAUGUUUUUAACUGCUACAAUCCAAGUCAUUUCACAGUUCACAUUAUUAGCAUGUAUCCAGAAUGGCUGAGCAAGAUUUAUGGUUUGCAGCUGUAAAGCCUGAAACCACCAAAAAAAAAAUCCCUCUCGUGGUCUGUAAUGUAUUUCCUGGGUGCCUGUGUUCGGAAGAGAGCUUUCAACAUGCAUACCGCUCUUUGUAAUCUAUUUUCUUAUAAAUGCAAGUACAAACUCUCCUUGCCCUUGCUUUAGCCAGAGGCCAGGGCUAUACAAGUGUAUUCCUCUAUUAGUGAAGAAAAAAAAGGAUUUCCUUUCUUUUAAGUUUUUAUAAGUUUUUAUGACAAAUCAGAAACAAAAUCCUCAAGCCUUAUCUCAUGUAAGCUUGUCAACAACAAUGGCAUUUGACUGUGAACAGUUUCAAUAACUUGACCUUAGUUCUGUCAUUGUUUAUAUAGAGCACCUAUCCCAUGGCACAUGAGAAAGCUCUAAUCUUCUCUAGUAGCUUAUGCUUACGAGUGGUAACAUCCAUAGUCAUCUCCCUUCUCCAUCAACUCCUGUUACCAAGCUGAGAAGAUACAUUCCUCAAUGAGCAUCAAUGAAUGUCAAACUAAGAGGAUUUUUUACUUGAAAAUAAUAAAAAUGAAACUGAACUGUAUAGGGACAAUAGGUCUCACACUUCCUUACCUAAUUUAGCCUUUCUCAGCAGUGCAUAGGUUCGUAAGUACCCAGUGCAACAAAAAACAGUGGUACAAGGACUAAAAGUAAGGAAAGAUCAAAAUUUCAGAUUUCAUCUUUGUAGCUGCACUGGUGCAAUGAGAAGAUAUCAAAAAAAGAAGAAUGCUCACGCAUCUCUGAAGAUACAGGCUCGUGGAAGAACUCCACCAAGGAGGGAUCUCCUGGAAAAGAUCCUUCCUCAGUGGCAGUCAGCCCUUAAAUGAGGUUUAUUAAGAGGGGUGGAGUCUGGCUCCAGUCCUUCCCACAGAUGAAUCGCCUUCACCUGUGCUCCCAAGCCUGACCUGUCUCUUCUUCCAGGUGCUCAAUCAGUGGUUUGGGCCCCGACUCGGCAGUUCCCUUGCAGUCAUGCAAAUCUUAGUGCUUACAAUAUAAGCUAUUUAGACUAACGAGACACACCGGCCUUGAGAGGUCAGAGAGAACUGCUUCCCGGAGGGAAGUGGAACUGCUCAUCCUUCUCAACACCUUUCCCCAGAGAUGAGAUCCAAAAAACUUUUCUAGCCUAACAAAAGCACACGAGAACCAGACAAACAAACUUGAGGAAGAAAUCUGAGCUCACUGGUUGAUUCUGCUGGGGAAGACAGCUGUGGAGAUGGAUGGGCCGACAGUUUUUUUUCUUGUUCUGUUUUCAACAGUAAUCUAAUAAAGUAAGAUCAUCAAACAUAAGAGCGCAUGCCUGAAGUCACAGUCUGAGUCGCUGAAACCUCUUCUCAAUUAUUUACGCUGGGAUCAAGGCAGAAGUCUGAGGUCUCACUUAGAAAAGCUGCAGGAAGAAUUUGCUCAGUCCCCAGACAGGGCCAUCAUCCACCUCUUAAAAGAAAUUUAAUUGCCGUAUCCUCAGGAACUAACUGGUUUCCAACCCGUCUGAUUUCCAGAUGUAAAUUUGCAAAUACUCCAACUCAGAGUAUUUUACUAAUUUUUUCUAAUAAAAUAUCUAGGAAAAUACACUUUCACGCGGCCCAAAUCGUUAACACCGCAGUACAUUCUGUGCUUGGAAAAGUGCCAUUUUAAAUUACCACACACAAGAUUCACAGGAUUAAGA
rnacentral:lncRNA from 1 species